rnacentral:sRNA from 1 species
ACGAAAAUAGGCAAUAUUUCCUGUUUAGGCGAUUGUGACGCAGAUUUUAGUCCAACGAUCUAGCGUCAAGGAAUUUUUUUAUAGUGGGACAUUGCACCAAGGAAGUAACUUGAUACGUCGUGGGUGAAUGGGUCUGUUUUCUUAUUCGGCAGGGUAAUACAUUUUUGGGGGAAGUUUGUCUGUCUGACGCGCCAUAUGUAGGUACGCCAAAAAGGGCUCCUCUACUUCGAAGCGCGAGGUCGUAUACCUAAUAAGGAAAUGUAAUUUAUAACUUUCUAUUAUAUUGGUCUUUUCGAGAGCGGAAGAAGUUGUAGGCUAAGCGCAGGCUAAGCGUAGGUCCAUAUUUAAAGUAUCCAAGAGAAUAUCCACGAAGCGGCUGAGCAACGAACAGAAUCCUGGUUCUCCUCGACUAAGCAGAUAGUUAAGAUACUGUGCACCAUGGAAAUUGAAAACGAACGUACGUACCGACUACUUUAUUUUUGCAGGCCGGAAAUCAAGGAUGAAUGAGACAUCCUUCUGUUUUCUAUGUUGGGACAGACAGUCGCUUAUCUUAGUGAGAUUUCUUAUUAACUGAAUUUUCUUUGCUGCUGCUGGAGAUUUGCACCUGCAUAGCGCAGAUUCUGCUUCUUCUCAAUAGAGUAGCUUAAUUAUUACAUUCUUAGAUGAUGAUAAGACGGAAACUGGACAAUCUUUUGUUUAUAUUGAUGGAUUUCUUGUCAAAAAGCAUAACAAUCAACAUACUAUUGUUAAUUUCGAAACUUACAAAAAUAAAAUGAAAGUUUCCGAUAGGCGUAAGUUUGAAAAAGCAAACUUUGACGAGUUUGAGUCGGCUCUAAAUAACAAAAACGACUUGGUACAUUGUCCCUCAAUAACUUUAUUUGAAUCGAUCCCCACGGAAGUGCGGUCAUUCUACGAAGACGAAAAGUCUGGCCUAAUCAAAGUGGUAAAAUUCAGAACUGGUGCAAUGGAUAGGAAAAGGUCUUUUGAAAAAAUUGUCGUUUCCGUCAUGGUCGGGAAAAAUGUACAAAAGUUCCUGACGUUUGUUGAAGACGAACCAGAUUUCCAGGGCGGACCAAUCCCUUCAAAGUAUCUUAUUCCCAAGAAAAUCAACUUGAUGGUCUACACGUUGUUUCAAGUGCAUACUUUGAAAUUCAAUAGAAAGGAUUACGAUACCCUUUCUCUUUUUUACCUCAACAGAGGAUACUAUAAUGAGUUGAGUUUCCGUGUCCUGGAACGUUGUCACGAAAUAGCGAGUGCCAGGCCGAACGACAGCUCUACGAUGCGUACUUUCACUGACUUUGUUUCUGGCGCACCUAUUGUAAGGAGUCUUCAGAAAAGCACCAUAAGGAGAUAUGGGUACAAUUUGGCACCCCACAUGUUUUUGUUACUACACGUAGAUGAGCUAUCGAUUUUUUCUGCAUACCAAGCAAGUUUACCUGGCGAAAAGAAAGUCGACACAGAGCGGCUGAAGCGUGAUCUAUGCCCACGUAAACCCAUUGAGAUAAAGUACUUUUCACAGAUAUGUAACGAUAUGAUGAACAAAAAGGACCGAUUGGGUGAUGUUUUGCAUGUGUGCUGCCCAAGUUGAGAAGAGAUACUAACAAAAUGACCGCGGCUCUCAAAAAUAAUUGACGAGCUUACGGUGAUACGCUUACCGUUAUCCAGAGCUACAGCGCAACGUAUACGUCGACGAUACAACAAGAACAGUUCAUCGGAGCCUCGACUAAAGACGCUUGACGGACUCACUUCCGAGCGCUGGAUUCAAUGGUUAGGCCUUGAAAGCGACUACCAUUGUUCAUUCUCUAGUACUCGGAAUGCGGAAGACGUAGUGGCAGGUGAGGCGGCGAGUUCAGAUCAUCAUCAAAAAAUUUCAAGAGUAACGCGAAAAAGGCCCCGAGAGCCCAAGAGUACAAACGAUAUCCUCGUCGCAGGCCAGAAACUCUUUGGCAGCUCCUUUGAAUUCAGGGACUUGCAUCAGUUGCGCUUAUGUCAUGAAAUAUACAUGGCAGACACACCCUCUGUGGCAGUACAGGCCCCACCGGGCUAUGGUAAGACGGAGUUAUUUCAUCUCCCCUUGAUAGCACUGGCGUCUAAGGGCGACGUGAAAUAUGUGUCGUUUCUGUUUGUACCGUACACAGUGUUGCUUGCUAAUUGCAUGAUCAGGUUGAGCCGAUGCGGUUGCUUGAAUGUGGCCCCUGUAAGAAACUUUAUUGAAGAAGGUUGCGAUGGCGUUACUGAUUUAUACGUGGGGAUCUACGAUGAUCUUGCUAGCACUAAUUUCACAGACAGGAUAGCUGCGUGGGAGAAUAUUGUUGAGUGCACCUUUAGGACCAACAACGUAAAAUUGGGUUACCUCAUUGUAGAUGAGUUUCACAACUUUGAAACGGAGGUCUACCGGCAGUCGCAAUUUGGGGGCAUAACUAACCUUGAUUUUGACGCUUUUGAGAAAGCAAUCUUUUUGAGCGGCACAGCACCUGAGGCUGUAGCUGAUGCUGCGUUGCAGCGUAUUGGGCUUACGGGACUGGCCAAGAAGUCGAUGGACAUCAACGAGCUCAAACGGUCGGAAGAUCUCAGCAGAGGUCUAUCCAGCUAUCCAACACGGAUGUUUAAUCUAAUCAAGGAGAAAUCCGAGGUGCCUUUAGGGCAUGUUCAUAAAAUUUGGAAGAAAGUGGAAUCACAGCCCGAAGAAGCACUGAAGCUUCUUUUAGCCCUCUUUGAAAUUGAACCAGAGUCGAAGGCCAUUGUAGUUGCAAGCACAACCAACGAAGUGGAAGAAUUGGCCUGCUCUUGGAGAAAGUAUUUUAGGGUGGUAUGGAUACACGGGAAGCUGGGUGCUGCAGAAAAGGUGUCUCGCACAAAGGAGUUUGUCACUGACGGUAGCAUGCGAGUUCUCAUCGGAACGAAAUUAGUGACUGAAGGAAUUGACAUUAAGCAAUUGAUGAUGGUGAUCAUGCUUGAUAAUAGACUUAAUAUUAUUGAGCUCAUUCAAGGCGUAGGGAGACUAAGAGAUGGGGGCCUCUGUUAUCUAUUAUCUAGAAAAAACAGUUGGGCGGCAAGGAAUCGUAAGGGUGAAUUACCACCAAUUAAGGAAGGCUGUAUAACCGAACAGGUACGCGAGUUCUAUGGACUUGAAUCAAAGAAAGGAAAAAAGGGCCAGCAUGUUGGAUGCUGUGGCUCCAGGACAGACCUGUCUGCUGACACAGUGGAACUGAUAGAAAGAAUGGACAGAUUGGCUGAAAAACAGGCGACAGCUUCCAUGUCGAUCGUUGCGUUACCGUCUAGCUUCCAGGAGAGCAAUAGCAGUGACAGGUGCAGAAAGUAUUGCAGCAGUGAUGAGGACAGCGACACGUGCAUUCAUGGUAGUGCUAAUGCCAGUACCAAUGCGACUACCAACUCCAGCACUAAUGCUACUACCACUGCCAGCACCAACGUCAGGACUAGUGCUACUACCACUGCCAGCAUCAACGUCAGGACUAGUGCGACUACCACUGAAAGUACCAACUCCAGCACUAAUGCUACUACCACUGCCAGCACCAACGUCAGGACUAGUGCUACUACCACUGCCAGCAUCAACGUCAGGACUAGUGCGACUACCACUGAAAGUACCAACUCCAACACUAGUGCUACUACCACCGAAAGUACCGACUCCAACACUAGUGCUACUACCACCGAAAGUACCGACUCCAACACUAGUGCUACUACCACUGCUAGCACCAACUCCAGCACUAAUGCCACUACCACUGCUAGCACCAACUCCAGCACUAAUGCCACUACCACUGAAAGUACCAACGCUAGUGCCAAGGAGGACGCCAAUAAAGAUGGCAAUGCUGAGGAUAAUAGAUUCCAUCCAGUCACCGACAUUAACAAAGAGUCGUAUAAGCGGAAAGGGAGUCAAAUGGUUUUGCUAGAGAGAAAGAAACUGAAAGCACAAUUUCCCAAUACUUCCGAGAAUAUGAAUGUCUUACAGUUUCUUGGAUUUCGGUCUGACGAAAUUAAACAUCUUUUCCUCUAUGGUAUUGACAUAUACUUCUGCCCAGAGGGAGUAUUCACACAAUACGGAUUAUGCAAGGGCUGUCAAAAGAUGUUCGAGCUCUGUGUCUGUUGGGCUGGCCAGAAAGUAUCGUAUCGGAGGAUGGCUUGGGAAGCACUAGCUGUGGAGAGAAUGCUGCGAAAUGACGAGGAAUACAAAGAAUACUUGGAAGACAUCGAGCCAUAUCAUGGGGACCCUGUAGGGUAUUUGAAAUUUUUUAGCGUAAAAAGGGGAGAGAUCUACUCUCAGAUACAGAGAAAUUAUGCUUGGUACCUGGCCAUUACUAGAAGAAGAGAAACAAUUAGUGUAUUGGAUUCGACAAGAGGCAAGCAAGGGAGCCAAGUUUUCCGCAUGUCUGGAAGGCAGAUCAAAGAGUUGUAUUAUAAAGUAUGGAGCAACUUGCGUGAAUCGAAGACAGAGGUGCUGCAGUACUUUUUGAACUGGGACGAAAAAAAGUGCCGGGAAGAAUGGGAGGCAAAAGACGAUACGGUCUUUGUGGAAGCGCUCGAGAAAGUUGGAGUUUUUCAGCGUUUGCGUUCCAUGACGAGCGCUGGACUGCAGGGUCCGCAGUACGUCAAGCUGCAGUUUAGCAGGCAUCAUCGACAGUUGAGGAGCAGAUAUGAAUUAAGUCUAGGAAUGCACUUGCGAGAUCAGCUUGCGCUGGGAGUUACCCCAUCUAAAGUGCCGCAUUGGACGGCAUUCCUGUCGAUGCUGAUAGGGCUGUUCUACAAUAAAACAUUUCGGCAGAAACUGGAAUAUCUUUUGGAGCAGAUUUCGGAGGUGUGGUUGUUACCACAUUGGGUUGAUUUGGCAAACGUUGAAGUUCUCGCUGCAGAUAACACGAGGGUACCGCUGUACAUGCUGAUGGUAGCGGUUCACAAAGAGCUGGAUAGCGAUGAUGUUCCAGACGGUAGAUUUGAUAUAAUAUUACUAUGUAGAGAUUCGAGCAGAGAAGUUGGAGAGUGAAGGAAAUUGUUGUUACGAAAGUCAGUGAUUAUGUAUUGUGUAGUAUAGUAUAUUGUAAGAAAUUUUUUUUUCUAGGGAAUAUGCG